AGAGCGAACGCUGGCGGCAGGCUUAACACAUGCAAGUCGAGCGGGCGUAGCAAUACGUCAGCGGCAGACGGGUGAGUAACGCGUGGGAACGUACCUUUUGGUUCGGAACAACACAGGGAAACUUGUGCUAAUACCGGAUAAGCCCUUACGGGGAAAGAUUUAUCGCCGAAAGAUCGGCCCGCGUCUGAUUAGCUAGUUGGUGAGGUAAUGGCUCACCAAGGCGACGAUCAGUAGCUGGUCUGAGAGGAUGAUCAGCCACAUUGGGACUGAGACACGGCCCAAACUCCUACGGGAGGCAGCAGUGGGGAAUAUUGGACAAUGGGCGCAAGCCUGAUCCAGCCAUGCCGCGUGAGUGAUGAAGGCCCUAGGGUUGUAAAGCUCUUUGUGCGGGAAGAUAAUGACGGUACCGCAAGAAUAAGCCCGGCUAACUUCGUGCCAGCAGCCGC
rnacentral:rRNA from 1 species